UGGACGGAAUUUUCGUACCUUAUUUAGUGAAAAUAUUGUGUGUGAGAACGAGAGGAUGAUCAUCGCUCACCGAUAAGUCGGAGGUCGAAAGAAGCGGCAACGCUCUGAACAUCGGAAGAAGUAAUCAUUCCUCGCAUCGUUAAAGCGUGUAGCUGAAGAAACAACAAAUCUUUACUGCCACUCACCUCGUCUUGGGUGUAAAAACUAGCCAAUCUCUGAUUCCGCUGCGUUAUUGGGUCGUAGUCUAUGCUAUCACGGGGUGGAGAAUCGUCAGGACCAGUUACCGUAACUGGAAUCGGCGUAGGCGGUGUUGGCGGUAUUUGCAUUUGCAGACCACCAGUAGAAGACGCCAAACUCGAUCCAGAACUGGUGGCCAAUGAGCUGCUGGAGUCAUCUCUGAUCCCUGAGAAGAUUCCCGAACUUGCCCGCUCUGAAACACCCACUUUCCAACGGUUUUGCAUCCACGUACAGCCGCCGAUCGGGACCUGUCAGCGCGGCAACGACUUCUGAGAUUGCGGCGGCACCGGGUUAAGCGAAAAUACGCGCACCCACACUGACGAAAGUCGAAACACGCAAACCUUGGCGCCCACGCACACAACCGGCCAGUGCCUUGCCAUACUGCUUCGGGCGAGAUAGGCGAUCAUCGUGUGUGCGUGAAUUCUACAACCGCGAAAGCGACACGCAUGCACGAAGGCGCCGAUCUACAUACGAGCGUAUUCCAUGCACUGACGUCUAAACUGCAGGCGCCAUACGGAGGCCGAGGAAAUGUUU